GUACACGCUGUGACUAGCAUAUCAAUAAGCGGAGGAAAAGAAACUAACAAGGAUUCCCCUAGUAACGGCGAGUGAAGCGGGAAGAGCUCAAAUUUGAAAUCUUAAAGGGUUUCCCUUUACGAAUUGUAGUUUAAAGAAGUGUUUUCUGUUGAGGUUUUGGUAAAAGUUCUUUGGAAUAGGACAUCAUAGAGGGUGAGAAUCCCGUAUUUGACCCUUACUUUCAACUUUGUGAUACACUUUCAAAGAGUCGGAUUGUUUGGGAAUGCAGUCCAAAAUGGGUGGUAAAUUUCAUCUAAAGCUAAAUAUUGGCGAGAGACCGAUAGCGAACAAGUACCGUGAGGGAAAGAUGAAAAGAACUUUGAAAAGAGCGUUAAACAGUACGUGAAAUUGUCAAAAGGGAAGCGUUUGACACCAGUGUUGUUUUUCUGAAAAUCAAUUAAAGAACUGUUUAUGCUAAGUUGUUUAGACUUUAUCAGCUAACUGUUUAGUUUUGAGCUUUUCUUUAAUGCACUUUUCAGUUAACAGGUCAACAUCAAUUUCUUUUGCUGUAAAAAAGCUUGAGGAAGGUGGCUUGAGAUUCGUCUUAAGUGUUUAUAGCCUCUUGCCUAUGCAGUCGGAGAGAUUGAGGUCUGCAGCGUAGAUCCUUCGGGGCUAAAUGCAUUUGUGCUAAGUUAUAGCAUUUUAUAGACAACUUGUUGACUAUGAUUUGUCUUGUAGCUUACUCGCUUAUGUUAUUUUACCUACGCUUAGGAUGUUGACGCGCGUGUGUGCGUG
rnacentral:rRNA from 1 species